UACGGGGGGGGCAAGCGUUGUUCGGAAUUAUUGGGCGUAAAGCGCACGUAGGCGGCCUUGUAAGUCUCACUGUGAAAGUCCGGGGCUCAACCCCGGGAUGCCAGGGGAUACUGCGAGGCUUGAGACAAGUAGAGGUUGGUAGAAUUCCGGGUGUAGCGGUGGAAUGCGUAGAGAUCCGGAGGAAUACCAGAGGCGAAGGCGGCCAACUGGGCUUGUUCUGACGCUGAGGUGCGAAAGCGUGGGGAGCGAACAGG
rnacentral:rRNA from 1 species